rnacentral:rRNA from 2 species
AAACUUUCAACAACGGAUCUCUUGGUUCCGGCAUCGAUGAAAAACGCAGCGAAAUGCGAUACGUAAUGUGAAUUGCAAAAUUCAGUGAAUCAUCGAGUCUUUGAACGCACAUUGCGCCCCCUGGUAUUCCGGGGGGCAUGCCUGUCCGAGCGUCAUU